UACUUAAACGUCAUAGCAUAGAAGGCACAUUCAGGCCCAGAAACACACAGUCAAAAUUCUAGUUCCGUUCGAAACGGACGUGUAAAAAAUCAGAUCCCAGGAAAAAAAAAAAAAAAAAUUUGUAAUUUUGUACCACGCACUGACCCUGCACCGUCGAGGGAUGUCCCAAAUGCGCAGAGGACCUCGAUGGAUGCCUUGCGGAUGACCUCCUGGAAGUCAUCAAAACCGUCGAACAGCGAGUUCCUUCAAGAUUAAUGAAGCCUCCUCCUUUUCGACGACAAAGUCGUUCUCCAUAUGCAACUCAUCCGAAUCCCUAUUGCCAUCGGCCUCAUCAUGAUUCUUGUUGACAUUGUCAUAUUUUGUGGAUGCCACCAUUUGAAGCAUGCGUUCGGUAAUCUUCAUGGAACGCGGGGGCCAUAUUCUCAGUCACAACGAACGACAGUCCGCCCGUUUCAGGUCUGGAUCAGCUGGUCCCAGCGUUGCACUCAAACAGACUGAGAACAAACCCACUGACAAAUGUGGCACAAGUCCAUCCCCAAGGCUCUCACAGACAACUUCCAGAGCAGAAGAUGCGGUUCAUGCAGUUGGCGAUCGAGGUCAGUGUAUCGAUGCACUCCAUACUACUCCACCGAACGCACAAACAGAACUGCAAUGGUGUCUUAUGGAAACAUGUUCGAUUCUUGACAGCUCUCACUCAGCCGGCCUUGAGUGUUCCUUCGGCAGUUGCCACCAGCAGCUUCUCUUGCCACAGAUCUUCCAUGGGUUUCAUCUUCACCGCUGGCAUUUACGGGGAUUAGUUGAGCUCGUCCUCGUCCUUUGCCCAGGGAGUCGCUUAGCAGCCAGCAGAUCCGGCGAGUGGAUCCGGCGAGAGCGAGGAGGAAGCUAACAAGAAGUGGGAGCGAAGGCUGACGGAUCGUCGGUACAAGUGCAGCCCUGUCCGGCAUCUCAACGGUGGCCAUCGCAUCGAAAACGAGUGCGCCGAGUCUGGCUUCGAUCGCACAAGAUACGAUGUAGUUUUGUAUGACUUUGAUCCUGACCUGAAACGGGCCUGCCGAUCGUUGUCUGCGAAUGUGGUCACUGCGUUCCACUAGAUUUUCGAACGCUUGCUUCAGACAGUUGCAUCCACAGAGCAUGGCAAUGACAACGAGAUUGAUGGUGACGACGAUGACGAUAACGGUACAAAUGAGUUGCAGGUGGAGACCGACUGUGCCUUUGAGGAGGAAAAGGCCACAUAAGCCUUGAAGGAACUCGCUGUGGGUUCAAGCAAGCUCUUCGCACACCAGAUCUUGCCAGAGUUUCACCUUCGCCGCUGGCAUUUACUGGUAUUUGUUGAGGUCAUCCUCGUCCUUGACCAGCGAGCGGCGAGUGGAUCCGGCGAGAGCGGGAAGGAAGCUAACGAGUGGUGGGAAGAAGAGGACCGUGCCUGGCUUGUCGAGCAGGAGUCUUGCCAACCCGGCAAGGAGAAGUGCACCAAGUGAGAGCGAAGGCUGUCUCGAAUGCUCUCCAUCUACCAAAGACCAGCAUUGUGCAUUGCCGCUUUCCCAGAAGUUUUCAUGCACAAAUAUAUACAAAUUAACAAAUUAAAUAUAUUC